rnacentral:rRNA from 1 species
AUUGAACGCUGGCGGCAGGCCUAACACAUGCAAGUCGAGCGGAUGAGAAGAGCUUGCUCUUCGAAUCAGCGGCGGACGGGUGAGUAAUGCCUAGGAAUCUGCCUAGUAGUGGGGGACAACGUUUCGAAAGGAACGCUAAUACCGCAUACGUCCUACGGGAGAAAGUGGGGGAUCUUCGGACCUCACGCUAUUAGAUGAGCCUAGGUCGGAUUAGCUAGUUGGUAGGGUAAAGGCCUACCAAGGCGACGAUCCGUAACUGGUCUGAGAGGAUGAGCAGUCACACUGGAACUGAGACACGGUCCAGACUCCUACGGGAGGCAGCAGUGGGGAAUAUUGGACAAUGGGCGAGAGCCUGAUCCAGCCAUGCCGCGUGUGUGAAGAAGGCCUUCGGGUCGUAAAGCACUUUAAGUUGGGAGGAAGGGCUCAUAGCGAAUACCUGUGAGUUUUGACGUUACCAACAGAAUAAGCACCGGCUAACUUCGUGCCAGCCGCCGCCGUAA